CAGUGGUUUGUAAUUGAUGUGCCACACAGUUAACACCCGAUGGACCUAAUUCUCUGUGGGACAACCUCAACGAUGGCCACAGUGGGGAGAAACGAAGCACAGAAGAUGUUGGAAAAUCACCAAGGUCUUCACUUUCUGGUGCUAUGAGAAAGCUCUGAAGCAAGGCAUCUUACAAGCCAUAACUGUCUUCGAAAAAACCCGAGAGAAAUGGUCAGAAGUACGAGCCGGGCUGCAUUAUCUGUGCCCUCUUGGGGUUUGCAGCAGCUGCAGUUCAGAAUCAAAGCUCAGCAUCAGGGAAUUCACUCGAAACUCGACACUAUUUCCUGAACGCUGAGAUUUUUGGCUACAGAAUAGGAAAUAUUUCUCUAAAUCAUGGCACUUUGAAGAAUGUGACAUGCCAUGAGAAACUGCAAAAUAACAGUCACUGGAUUCCCCAACGUGAGACAGAGUCCUUAGUGGCUUCUAACUCACUGUAUGUAUAGCCAAGGAUGACUAUGAACUUGGGAUCCUCCUGCCUUCAUCUCACAAGUGAUGACAUUACAGAUACGUGCCCUGUUUCUGCAGGACUGGGAAUCAAGCACAGGUCCGUGUACAUGCUAGAGAGCAGUCCAGCUGCAAACUUAGCCUCAGAAGACAGCGUAGACAUCCUCAAAGGGUGAGGGGCAGUAGAGCAGGUGUAUGACAAGCGACCAGUGCUGUGAAUUGACUCCCUUGGACAAAUGUAAAGUGAGCCCUGGGUUGUUUUGUUGAUUUGGAAUCACAUAGAAAUGGAACUGUUCAUCUCAUUUAUGCAAUCCAGUUACAAGUACAUGGGAAGAAAACACAGCUGUUCAUU